CUGGUUUUAGAGGAUGAUCAGCAACACUGGGACUGAGACACGGCCCAGACUCCUACGGGAGGCAGCAGUGGGGAAUCUUAGACAAUGGGCGCAAGCCUGAUCUAGCCAUGCCGCGUGUGUGAUGAAGGCCUUAGGGUCGUAAAGCACUUUCGCCAGAGAUGAUAAUGACAGUAUCUGGUAAAGAAACCCCGGCUAACUCCGUGCCAGCAGCCGCGGUAAUACGGAGGGGGUUAGCGUUGUUCGGAAUUACUGGGCGUAAAGCGUACGUAGGCGGAUCAGAAAGUAUGGGGUGAAAUCCCAGGGCUCAACCCUGGAACUGCCUCAUAAACUCCUGGUCUUGAGUUCGAGAGAGGUGAGUGGAAUUCCAAGUGUAGAGGUGAAAUUCGUAGAUAUUUGGAGGAACACCAGUGGCGAAGGCGGCUCACUGGCUCGAUACUGACGCUGAGGUACGAAAGUGUGGGGAGCAAACAGGAUUAGAUACCCUGGUAGUCCACACCGUAAACGAUGAAUGCCAGUCGUCGGGCAGUAUACUGUUCGGUGACACACCUAACGGAUUAAGCAUUCCGCCUGG
rnacentral:rRNA from 1 species